UGGGGAAUAUUGCGCAAUGGGGGGAACCCUGACGCAGCCACGCCGCGUGAAUGAAGAAGGCCUUAGGGUUGUAAAGUUCUUUCGGUAUUGAGGAAGGUUGAUGUGUUAAUAGCACAUCAAAUUGACGUUAAAUACAGAAGAAGCACCGGCUAACUCCGUGCCAGCAGCCGCGGUAGUACGGAGGGUGCGAGCGUUAAUCGGAAUAACUGGGCGUAAAGGGCACGCAGGCGGUUAUUUAAGUGAGGUGUGAAAGCCCUGGGCUUAACCUAGGAAUUGCAUUUCAGACUGGGUAACUAGAGUACUUUAGGGAGGGGUAGAAUUCCACGUGUAGCGGUGAAAUGCGUAGAGAUGUGGAGGAAUACCGAAGGCGAAGGCAGCCCCUUGGGAAUGUACUGACGCUCAUGUGCGAAAGCGUGGGGAGCAAACAGGAUUAGAUACCCUGGUAGUCCACGCUGUAAACGCUGUCGAUUUGGGGGUUGGGGUUUAACUCUGGCGCCCGUAGCUAACGUGAUAAAUCGACCGCCUGGGGAGUACGGCCGCAAGGUUA
rnacentral:rRNA from 1 species